AAAAAAUGGAGAAGGAGAAUCCAGUCUCACAGUUAAAACCAAACCGAAAACCCACAUGCUUGGUAAUGUGGAGUUAAAUGGCAGUAGGCUGGAUGAUGUUUCCAAAAAUUGUCCUUGUGAAUUGGCUCUUGGUAGAAAGAAAACAGUAGAAGGAUAUUUCUGUCAGAGUUGCACCACAAGCAGUGUGGGAAUUUGUGUCCGUCUGCAAUUGUUUUUUCUGCUUUGGGGAAUGAACAGUCUGUUCUGACCCCGAAGCCAUGGAUUUUGAAGCGGGGUUGUUUGUGCUGAAUCCCUUUUCAAUUCACACAUCACCCAAGUUAACCCAUGUUGGGUCUAUAGUGAAGACGACAUCUUCGUAGCCAGCAGUGUUACUGUAGUAGACUUUGCACAUCGUCAGUUUUGGUUUUUCAUUUUAAAAGUUAUUUAAUGUGUGUUUUCUUCUCAGCAGCUAGAUGGUUGUUUUAGCAGCGUGUGUCCUUUUUUAAACACUGUGGAUAACAGCCCGUGGAUUUUGCAUUUUUAAAUAAGCUCUCAUAGAGUCAUUGCAGCAUAACUGUGUCUGCUCUUCUGUCAGUGAAAGGAAACGUGCAUCUGGGAGCCACAGCCUGACAUCACACAGCUUUACUGAAGACAGAGCCAGAAAUUAAAGACGUCCCUUACAGUUCCUUGAUUGCAAGCAUAUGAAUGAAAAGCACUCAGCGUAGAUCCUCGUGGCCAGGCUUCCCAUGUACCCGUGAGUCACCUGCUACACUGACAGUCCUGGGGGACAUUGAGCAACGGGGAAUGUCUGGUUUGUGAAAUUGGUGCAAUGCUUUAGAAAUCUACAAUGCCCUCGGUACUGAUUUUAUAUUACUUACUGCUGACUUUUACCUUUCUAACUUCCUUCGCUAAUUUUUACGAGGUUUUUCAAGCCUGACUUCUGUUUCAGCAAUCUUUGAGAGCAAGUAAGGAGAUUCAGUUUUGGAAAACAUUGAUGAUUUGAGUAAAUAAAGCUCUUCCCAGACGUGUAUUUCAUUUUGCAGGCAUUUCAUGGCACAGGCAUAUUGCUCAAGCUGCUAAGGUUCAUUAAGUAUUUAGGUAUGAGUUGUGAGCGUUAAAACUACAAACACUAAAUGAAUGCCCGUAAAUACUUAAUGAGCUUUAGCACUCAACUUUGAAAUGGUGCUACUGUUAGCUUUUUUAAAUUGCUGUUAAAAUCAUAUCCUGCGUGAGAAAGAUCUGAUCAGGAAGCAAACAGCAGACAUUUUGCAUCUGAGCAGCUUGCACGCUGAGCAGCCCCCAGUUACGCCGUUACAGCCUGUUGUUUCAGCCUGUUGCUUGAGGGAUCAGGGUCUCUUUUGGGGAAUCAGCUGAUUGAUUUUCCUCCUCUGAACUCAACUGCAGAGUGCUUGCACUUUUACCCAGAAAAGCAUUCAUAGAAAUAUACUUAUUGGUGGUAAGAAAAUAAAUAGCA
rnacentral:lncRNA from 1 species